AUACGUAGGUGGCGAGCGUUGUCCGGAAUUAUUGGGCGUAAAGGGAGCGCAGGCGGGAGGCCAAGUCCAUCCUAAAAGUUCGGGGCUCAACCCCGGGAGGGGAUGGAAACUGGGCUUCUUGAGUGCAGGAGAGGAAAGCGGAAUUCCUAGUGUAGGGGUGAAAUGCGUAGAUAUUAGGAGAAACACCAGUGGCGAAGGCUGCUUUCUGGACUGUAACUGACGCUGAGGCGCGAAAGCCAGGGGAGCGAACGGGAUUAGAUGCCCCGGUAGUCCUGGCCGUAAACGAUGAAUGCUAGGUGUAUGAGGUAUCAACCCCUCCUGUGCCGGAGUUAACGCAAUAAGCAUUCCGCCUGGGGAGUACGGCCGCAAGGCUGAAACUCAAAUGAAUUGACGGGG
rnacentral:rRNA from 1 species